UCAGAUUCGCAAAUUUUCGUUAUAUUUAUGAUAUUUGCGAGGAAAUAUUAAAACUGAACAUUUACCAUGCUCUAAAAUAUCCAUUAUAUGCAUCUUUUGACGAUUUAGAAAUCUGAAAAUUAUAAUUGCGUUGCAACGCGAAACGAUUGAAUAAUUUCACGCCGGGUAUGCGAAUACUUCGUUGACGGAUGGCACUUCACUAACAGAGAACAACAAACGCCACGCGCGAGAGGAUCUGAGCCCAUGGAUAAGAAGACUCUUUCGAAGUAUAGGUGCUUCUAUUGUACAUCACCUACAUACAAAACAGAUGAAUAUUCGGAAAUUGUGGAGCAUUGUGUAAAAGGCCACAAGUGCCAGACUUUAAAAUACAGAGAGCUUAUUCUUCAAGGCGAAACUGGAUUGCUUAAGUACCAGUCGAAGUCCCACGAAGGGAUAAUUCCCAUAAGAUUGGAGAAUGAGGGGAAAACUAUUGAAGUAAGGGGUUCGCAAACCUUCAUCACCCGCACAACUCCAAAACGCAAAAGCUCAACACUUCUGUUAAAGACAAGUUGGCAUCGUGCAGAUAUCUUCCAUUUGAGUGUGAAGAUGAAGAGCUUCCCGAUGAAGUAGAUAUUAUGGGUUCAUCAUCUGUAUAAAAAAAACUCACACAAGGAAUUGUUGUGUAUUUUACCAAGUAUUUUAGAAGGGUUUAGAAGUGUUUUAACAGUAUUCCACAGCGAAUUCUGCAUUUUUGAUUCACAAAAAACGAGUGUGUUAUAUCUGGAAAAAAGUGUCUAGAUGUCGGGAAACGAAGUGCCAUUGUUUUUUAGAUGAUCGGUAAACGAAGUGCAGAUGAAAAAUGUGCAUGCGACUCUUAAAACAUUUGAAUUUUCUCAAAUACAUUAGUAAACUAAAAUGUAACAUGUUGUAACAUUACUGGAUAUAUUGAUCUUUUAUUUCGAAUGGUAAGCACGUUCUUGAUUUAUUUCCAAGUAUGUUUAUUUUGUUAAAAUAUGUACUGAUCAUUCAAUUCAUGCUGAUUAUCGAUGGAAUUUUAUCGUUUUUUUUUAAAUAAUUCACCGUUUUUCCACGAAUUUCUUUCUUCGCAAUACGAAGUGCUAUACCAUUAAUCACCCAAACAAUGUUAUGUGUCUAAAAACCAAAUAAACAGAACAUAAAUACAAAAAAGCUGAAGAACUCACCUCUCGCG